UCAGGAUGAACGCUAGCUACAGGCUUAACACAUGCAAGUCGAGGGGCAUCAGGAAGAAAGCUUGCUUUCUUUGCUGGCGACCGGCGCACGGGUGAGUAACACGUAUCCAACCUGCCCUUUACUCGGGGAUAGCCUUUCGAAAGAAAGAUUAAUACCCGAUAGCAUAAUGAUUCCGCAUGGUUUCAUUAUUAAAGGAUUCCGGUAAAGGAUGGGGAUGCGUUCCAUUAGGUUGUUGGUGAGGUAACGGCCCACCAAGCCUUCGAUGGAUAGGGGUUCUGAGAGGAAGGUCCCCCACAUUGGAACUGAGACACGGUCCAAACUCCUACGGGAGGCAGCAGUGAGGAAUAUUGGUCAAUGGGCGCUAGCCUGAACCAGCCAAGUAGCGUGAAGGAUGAAGGCUCUAUGGGUCGUAAACUUCUUUUAUAUAAGAAUAAAGUGCAGUAUGUAUACUGUUUUGUAUGUAUUAUAUGAAUAAGGAUCGGCUAACUCCGUGCCAGCAGCCGCGGUAAUACGGAGGAUCCGAGCGUUAUCCGGAUUUAUUGGGUUUAAAGGGAGCGUAGGUGGACUGGUAAGUCAGUUGUGAAAGUUUGCGGCUCAACCGUAAAAUUGCAGUUGAUACUGUCAGUCUUGAGUACAGUAGAGGUGGGCGGAAUUCGUGGUGUAGCGGUGAAAUGCUUAGAUAUCACGAAGAACUCCGAUUGCGAAGGCAGCUCACUGGACUGCAACUGACACUGAUGCUCGAAAGUGUGGGUAUCAAACAGGAUUAGAUACCCUGGUAGUCCACACAGUAAACGAUGAAUACUCGCUGUUUGCGAUAUACAGUAAGCGGCCAAGCGAAAGCAUUAAGUAUUCCACCUGGGGAGUACGCCGGCAACGGUGAAACUCAAAGGAAUUGACGGGGGCCCGCACAAGCGGAGGAACAUGUGGUUUAAUUCGAUGAUACGCGAGGAACCUUACCCGGGCUUAAAUUGCAGUGGAAUGAUGUGGAAACAUGUCAGUGAGCAAUCACCGCUGUGAAGGUGCUGCAUGGUUGUCGUCAGCUCGUGCCGUGAGGUGUCGGCUUAAGUGCCAUAACGAGCGCAACCCUUAUCUUUAGUUACUAACAGGUUAUGCUGAGGACUCUAGAGAGACUGCCGUCGUAAGAUGUGAGGAAGGUGGGGAUGACGUCAAAUCAGCACGGCCCUUACGUCCGGGGCUACACACGUGUUACAAUGGGGGGUACAGAAGGCAGCUAGCGGGUGACCGUAUGCUAAUCCCAAAAUCCUCUCUCAGUUCGGAUCGAAGUCUGCAACCCGACUUCGUGAAGCUGGAUUCGCUAGUAAUCGCGCAUCAGCCACGGCGCGGUGAAUACGUUCCCGGGCCUUGUACACACCGCCCGUCAAGCCAUGGGAGCCGGGGGUACCUGAAGUACGUAACCGCAAGGAUCGUCCUAGGGUAAA
rnacentral:rRNA from 1 species